UACGGGAGGGUAAAAUAAUGUCCCUCUGUACGGGAGGGUAAAAUAAUGUCCCUCUAUACGGGAGGGUAAAAUAAUGUCCCUCUAUACGGGAGGGUAAAAUAAUAUCCCUCUAUACGGGAGGGUAAAAUAAUAUCCCUCUAUAAGGGAGGGUAAAAUAAUGUCCCUCUAUACGGGAGGGUAAAAUAAUAUCCCUCUAUAAGGGAGGGUAAAAUAAUGUCCCUCUAUACGGGAGGGUAAAAUAAUGUCCCUCUAUACGGGAGGGUAAAAUAAUGUCCCUCUAUACGGGAGGGUAAAAUAAUAUCCUCUAUACGGGAGGGUAAAAUAAUAUCCCUCUAUACAGGAGGGUAAAAUAAUGUCCCUCUAUACGGGAGGGUAAAAUAAUAUCCCUCUAUACGGGAGGGUAAAAUAAUGUCCCUCUGUACGGGAGGGUAAAAUAAUGUCCCUCUAUACGGGAGGGUAAAAUAAUGUCCCUCUAUAUGGGAGGGUAACAUAAUGUCCCUCUAUACGGGAGGGUAAAAUAAUGUCCCUCUAUACGGGAGGGUAAAAUAAUGUCCCUCUAUACGGGAGGGUAAAAUAAUGUCCCUCUGUACGGGAGGGUAAAAUAAUAUCCCUCUAUACGGGAGGGUAAAAUAAUGUCCCUCUAUACGGGAGGGUAAAAUAAUAUCCCUCUAUACGGGAGGGUAAAAUAAUGCAUUAGUCAUACUAAUUCAAUCUAAUCAAGCAAACAAAUAUAUAAAUAAACAUUUAAAAAAGGGAUUAACAAUUGUUACAUAUAAACUUGACUGUUACACUUCAGAAUGGUAAGUAGUUAUACAGCAUUUCCCAUAACUUUGUCUCUAAGAAGUGCUAGUUUACGGUAACAACUAAGCUAAAAACUAUGGAUUUGAACCACAGUUGAGCGUAGAUACUCUGAAUGAUAGAAACCACAGCUGGGGGCAACCCCACAGCUAGCAGCUUACCAGCACAGUAUUAUAUUAUAAUUUUACUAUACAGUUAUGUCCUAUGUAUGCAUUAAUGCAUCAUUCAUGUUGUUAAGAAUGCAUUCAUUAGAAUAUAUAACACUAUACAAGAAGCAGCUUCAAGUAAGUGUUACGAUAUUAUAUCAUGUCAUAUUAUACUGUUCUAUAUUACAGUGUAUUUCAUGUUAUAUUUGAUUAUAUUUACACUUAGUUUCAUCUUAUAUAUUAUAUAUUUUCAACUGGCUUCAUGCCGUUGCUGACCAGUCCUGGUCCUGCUUGUUCACCAGAGCAGUUUUCUUCAUCCACUGACCAACAGGGUUGUUCUCCAACCUUAGACACAGAACACAGUAAGACAGGCUGGUUCAGGAAACAUGGUUAAAAACAUGGUUAUUAUACAAUCCUGUACCUUCAAUUCAAAUACAGUGGAGAAAAAACUCAGAACAGUGUUACUUUAGCAAUAGUUACAAUAUCACCUGUCAGACAUGGGAGGUCCUCCAUUCGUCUGAGGAG
ensembl:lncRNA